GCCGGCAGCACCAGUGCCAAGCUGGCAAAGGAGCAAGAGAGCGAGCCCGCCCUCUGUCCCUCGCUCACUCACCCGGCUGGGUUCCAGCAGCACCAGGAUCUGGCGGAGAAGGUACUUAUCCAAGCUAGACAUUCCCAAUUUCAGGAAAUCCUUCACCCUGGCCAGAUUUAAUGUUCUGCCAUCAACACUUCUGCAGGGGCAAAGAGGGACUCCUGAAGCCACUGAAGGAAGGAAAUCAUUACAGAGAUCUACAAAAGUAGGUCAUGUGCUACAGCUGCUCAUAGUUUGAGAGGAAGAAACAUGGGACCUCAAACAUGGAACAUGACUCCUUCAGAAUGCUUGAGAGCAACCCAAGAAAAACAUCCUCAGAGGCUUAUUUAAUAAACAUUAUCUAUAAUAGCCUCAAUGUGUGCUCAGGUUUCUUUAGGAGUUUGCACCUAUAUCCCAGAGCUAACAUGAUUCUGGGAUGGAAUACAAAAUAAUUUAUCAAGAAGGAUU